rnacentral:rRNA from 1 species
AGUCGAACGAGAGAGAGGAAGCUUGCUUCCUCAAUCGAGUGGCGAACGGGUGAGUAACGCGUGAGGAACCUGCCUCAAAGAGGGGGACAACAGUUGGAAACGACUGCUAAUACCGCAUAAGCCCACGGGUCGGCAUCGACCAGAGGGAAAAGGAGCAAUCCGCUUUGAGAUGGCCUCGCGUCCGAUUAGCUGGUUGGUGAGGUAAUGGCCCACCAAGGCGACGAUCGGUAGCCGGACUGAGAGGUUGAACGGCCACAUUGGGACUGAGACACGGCCCAGACUCCUACGGGAGGCAGCAGUGGGGAAUAUUGCACAAUGGGGGAAACCCUGAUGCAGCGACGCCGCGUGGAGGAAGAAGAUCUUCGGAUUGUAAACUCCUGUUGUUGAGGAAGAUAAUGACGGUACUCAACAAGGAAGUGACGGCUAACUACGUGCCAGCAGCCGCGGUAAAACGUAGGUCACAAGCGUUGUCCGGAAUUACUGGGUGUAAAGGGAGCGCAGGCGGGAAGACAAGUUGGAAGUGAAAUCUAUGGGCUCAACCCAUAAACUGCUUUCAAAACUGUUUUUCUUGAGUAGUGCAGAGGUAGGCGGAAUUCCCGGUGUAGCGGUGGAAUGCGUAGAUAUCGGGAGGAACACCAGUGGCGAAGGCGGCCUACUGGGCACCAACUGACGCUGAGGCUCGAAAGUGUGGGUAGCAAACAGGAUUAGAUACCCUGGUAGUCCACACCGUAAACGAUGAUUACUAGGUGCUGGAGGAUUGACCCCUUCAGUGCCGCAGUUAACACAAUAAGUAAUCCACCUGGGGAGUACGACCGCA